rfam:Ixodes scapularis strain Wikel colony gcontig_1108379565779, whole genome shotgun sequence.
GCGGUCGUGGCCGAGUGGUUAAGGCGAUGAACUAUAGAAAUCCAUUGGGGUCUCUCCGCACAGGUUCGAAUCCUGUUGACUGCG